UUUGUCUUGUUUUUUUUUUUUUUUUAAAUUGGACAAUUGGAGUCAGAAUUGAGGGGAAAUGUUGCUUGUCUGGUACAGACAGAAUGGUUCUCCUGAGUCAAGGAUAUGUACUGGUGGGAAAGAAUAACCUAGAAUGCAAACUAAGAUCCCUUCAGGUUCACCCAGUAGCUCAUUCUAGAAAAUGAGCCAAAAGAUUUGAGAAAUUUGAUGAAGACAGAUGUUUACAUGAGGGAAAGAACUGUUUAGUAAAGAAAAUAAUGGCAAGAAGAGAUGGUAUUUGGUGAUCAAAGGGAAAUUAAUGCUGUGCAAGGUCUGAUCCUGGCGAAGUUAUGUGACAAUUGACUUUUUAAAUUAUCCAUUGUAUGAUGAUGAUUGUCUUCACUGAGGGUCACAGAGUCACAUAGAGUCCUUAUAACCCUGGUGUGGCAUGGCUAGACACUGUGGCAAAAGCAGCUCCUGGCCAUGAGUACUGACUGAUCUUCCAACAGCAAAAUCAGCAGGUCGGACUAGUGCUGGCAUAGGCCUACACCAGGAACUAACAACUAGUGUGAGGUCCUAUGUUCCUGCUGUCAGGGAAGAAUUAGGUUGGAGCUCUUGUGUGGUUUUGUAUUCCCAUAACUGAGCAGAUUUCUCUAAAGAUUAUCAGUCCUUUAAAAUAAAAGAAAGCACUUACCUGGGAAUUUACUUGUAAAGCAAAUGAUCUACCAUAUUUCCUCUUCUGUUACUUACUCUUCAUUGGACUAGGAUACAUUGGAUUGGUAAUUGUUAGCAAUGCCUCAGCAGAUAUGAAAAAGGUACAGAAAAUUUUAAAAGGUAUUAAAACCCUUUUCUUAAAAAGCUCUCAGCCUAGUAUGGUGUAGCUGAAAGAGUAUCAGACUGAUAACAGUCCAGGGAUUCUGAUUCUCUUUGGUCUGAUUGUUAACCCUCUCUGUUCUUAGUGGCUGUCUAACUUAUCAGAUUUCAGAUUUGUUGAAGAUAAAGUGGAACAUUAGUCAUUUAAUAAAAACUAAAGAUGGAAGGGAAAGAGCCCUUUUAGUAGCCUGUUUAAGUAUGUUUUAUAUAUUUUUAGAGUUUUUAAGUCUUAUAUUACAUUUUAAGGUGUCAUGAUUAUUUUUGUGUGUGUGAUUUAUCUUUUUAAGUCAUAUUUUAUUUUUCUAUUACAAUUGACAAUACAAUAUUACUAGUUUCAGGUAUGUACUCCAGCAGUCAGACAUUACAUAACUUCCUAAGUGAUCAUCCCGAUAAUCUCAUACCUAUCUGACGUAAGGUCUCAUGUUUAUUAAUGUUGGAGUUAGAACUCUUCUGUGUUUUGCUCACAGCAUUUUCUCCUCUAAGUUAUCACUGGUAUUUAAAAAAUAGAAUAAGUUGAGUGUGGUGGGUAAAAUGAACAGAAAACAAGUUCUUGUAGGCCUCUUUUCUGAAUUAGUCAUCAAAGCCAGUAGCCAUUCAUGUUUAGUGCUGGGUAUGGUUGGGAUAGACAGACUCUGAUACUUGACAUUUACAUUGCCUUAGAGAUAAAUCCAAGUGUUGACUAAUUUGCAAGUGUGUUUGCAGUUUGAUUGUUUAUAACUUAGAAUACAUUAUUGUACGCAGACUAGUUCAAACAAAGAUCUGAUUUAUUAACCUCAUUGUGGCUUUAACAG